CUAGGAUCAGUGAGGUGUUGUCUAGUGAUUACAGAGAAGUAACUUCAAUAGUGCACACAGACAUUUUGAUUUCAUCUAAAAUUGAAGACACGUCCCCGAGGAGAACCAUCAAAGACUCUGAGACACCUCGCCUCAGCCUGUCUCAUCUCGUCCUCAACCUGUCGGCCUGAAAUUUGCACCUUCAGGAUACAGUGACGCGAUGCAGAACAGUUUAACUCCUCUGGGGCAGCACAUGGGUGGCCAAUCAGAUUUCAAUGGGGGCCAGUGCCACCCCAGGACAUCCCUUUAGACACGCCCCUGGACUCAAGAUGAACAUCCAUCUGCAACAUCUGUGUGGGCCAAGAAAGUGGGAGAUGAACAGAGAGAUUAACAGUGACAAACAAACAACAAAAAUAAAUGGGGCACAAUCCUGUUCAAGCGGUCUACCCCCUCUAGCUGUUGACUUCUCUGUGUCCUGACCUCGAUU